rnacentral:rRNA from 1 species
UACGUAGGGUGCGAGCGUUAAUCGGAAUUACUGUGCGUAAAGCGUGCGCAGGCGGUGCUGUAAGACAGGCGUGAAAGCCCCGGGCUUAACCUGGGAAUGGCGCUUGUGACUGCAGUGCUUGAGUGCGGGAGAGGGGGAUGGAAUUCCGCGUGUAGCAGUGAAAUGCGUAGAUAUGCGGAGGAACACCGAUGGCGAAGGCAAUCCCCUGGGCCUGCACUGACGCUCAUGCACGAAAGCGUGGGGAGCAAACAGG